rnacentral:misc_RNA from 1 species
GAAAAACAUUAGUUAGGCCACAAAUUACUGUCACUAGACCAUAAAACAAAUUAUUACUAGAAAACAAAAAAAUUCUACUUAUCUAGACAAACAAGUCAACAUGUUGAUGGUCAUAUUCUGAAGACUAUAUAAAUUACUCUAGAAUAUUGUAGAAAAUAGAGAAGGCAGCAAUUGUUUUAGAGUUUGUUAGCUUGUAGUUGAUGUGGCUUUUAGUCAUUGGAUGAACUGUUGUAUAUAAACAAUAUCGAAAGUAAAGAAUGUGAUCUGCUCAUUCCUACAGUUUUUUUCUUUACAAGUUUCUUCAUAUGCUUGUAGUUGAUGUGGCUUUUAGUCAUUGGAUGAACUGUUGUAUAUAAACAAUAUCGAAAGUAAAGAAUGUGAUCUGCUCAUUCCUACAGUUUUUUUCUUUACAAGUUUCUUCAUAU